UACGUAGGGUGCAAGCGUUGUCCGGAAUUAUUGGGCGUAAAGAGCUUGUAGGCGGUUUGUCGCGUCUGCUGUGAAAUUUCGGGGCUCAACCCCGAACUUGCAGUGGGUACGGGCAGACUAGAGUGUGGUAGGGGAGACUGGAAUUCCUGGUGUAGCGGUGAAAUGCGCAGAUAUCAGGAGGAACACCGAUGGCGAAGGCAGGUCUCUGGGCCACUACUGACGCUGAGAAGCGAAAGCGUGGGGAGCGAACGGG
rnacentral:rRNA from 1 species